GAUGAACGCUGGCGGCGUGCCUAAUACAUGCAAGUCGAGCGAACAGACGAGGAGCUUGCUCCUCUGACGUUAGCGGCGGACGGGUGAGUAACACGUGGAUAACCUACCUAUAAGACUGGGAUAACUUCGGGAAACCGGAGCUAAUACCGGAUAAUAUAUUGAACCGCAUGGUUCAAUAGUGAAAGACGGUUUUGCUGUCUCUUAUAGAUGGAUCCGCGCCGCAUUAGCUAGUUGGUAAGGUAACGGCUUACCAAGGCAACGAUGCGUAGCCGACCUGAGAGGGUGAUCGGCCACACUGGAACUGAGACACGGUCCAGACUCCUACGGGAGGCAGCAGUAGGGAAUCUUCCGCAAUGGGCGAAAGCCUGACGGAGCAACGCCGCGUGAGUGAUGAAGGCCUUCGGAUCGUAAAACUCUGUUAUUAGGGAAGAACAAAUGUGUAAGUAACUAUGCACGUCUUGACGGUACCUAAUCAGAAAGCCACGGCUAACUACGUG
rnacentral:rRNA from 1 species